AUUGAACGCUGGCGGCAGGCCUAACACAUGCAAGUCGAGCGGAUGAAGGGAGCUUGCUCCUGGAUUCAGCGGCGGACGGGUGAGUAAUGCCUAGGAAUCUGCCUGGUAGUGUGGGAUAACGUCCGGAAACGGGCGCUAAUACCGCAUACGUCCUGAGGGAGAAAGUGGGGGAUCUUCGGACCUUACGCUAUCAGAUGAGCCUAGGUCGGAUUAGCUAGUUGGUGGGGUAAAGGCCUACCAAGGCGACGAUCCGUAACUGGUCUGAGAGGAUGAUCAGUCACACUGGAACUGAGACACGGUCCAGACUCCUACGGGAGGCAGCAGUGGGGAAUAUUGGACAAUGGGCGAAAGCCUGAUCCAGCCAUGCCGCGUGUGUGAAGAAGGUCUUCGGAUUGUAAAGCACUUUAAGUUGGGAGGAAGGGCAGUAAGUUAAUACCUUGCUGUUUUGACGUUACCAACAGAAUAAGCACCGGCUAACUUCGUG
rnacentral:rRNA from 1 species